CAAUCUCAUGUCUUAGUGAAACUUAGUUGUUCUAGUCCGAUUCUUCUUUUCACUCAUUCCUGCGUGGGCACAACAUCCAAGAUAUUUUGCUGCAGGAAGUAAAGGAUAAUACAGUGUCCAUUCUAUAUACAGUGGUAUCUCGGUUUUUGAACGUAAUCCAUUCUGGAAGACCGUAUGACUUCCGAAACGUUCAAAAACCGAAGCAUUUACUUCUGAAAAACUCAAUACAAAAGCUGUGUAGCACGUUCAACUUCAAAAAAGCAUUUGAAAACCGAAGCAGUUACUUCCAGGUUUUUGGUGUUCGAAAACUGAAACGUUUGAAAUGUUCGAAAACUGAGGUACAUUGUAUCGAAGCUGUGGAAUAGGAUGAUGUCUUCUACCACUCUUGGAGAAAUCAGACUGUUUUAAGGGGUGCACACUAUGUGUACUUCAACAGAAGGGGACAGCAGAGCAGGGGAAAGGAUAGUGUUGUACCUCAUAAGCCCUCAUGAUCUUCUGCCUGAAGUAACUGCCUCAUUAUGUCUAAUGGUAGGGUGGGAUCAGAAAUCACAAGGCUGCCCUUUCAAGAAUGCUGAAUUGCACAUCAUGACCUAGCUAACUAUAUAUUUGGUAGCUGGAAACAUGUGAGAUGAGACUGGUUAAGCUUAAAAGAAAGAUCAAUGAAAGGAACAAGAGAUUUAAAAAAGGAAACAUUUUCCAACUAUUAAAAGCAUGGAGGCCAGAGGAAGAAUUAUGAAGGAAAUAGACCAGAUUUGAGGUUUAUGGCAUAAUUUUACUUUGUGCAAUGUUCUUGCUAAUAUCCAGGGUCUAAUUAAGAUAUUCAUUUAAAGCCCUUUACUAGGGAAAUGCAAAUAGAAAGGGUCGCUGUAAUCUGUCCAUUGCACUAAUGUUAUGGACUUUUUAAUGUAGAUUUUAAUGAGGUUCUGUUGCUGACUGGGAUAUUACACAAAUUUAAAUCCAAGUGUUGCUAAUUUCAACAAUGUGGAGCACAAUGUCAUUUCAAGAUUUGAAAAGGAAAAGAAACACAGAAGAGGAACUGCCCAUUUUAACAGCAUCCUUUAAAAUAUCAACAUUCUUACUGGAAAAUGAGAGGAUAUAGCGCUCUAGGAACAGGGUAACAGAGGACAGCAACAGAGAUGAGCCGUAGAAAAAUUGACUGAAGUUUGAAUUCACUAUGGAAAUCUUUUCUCACUUAGUUUGAUUUUUCACAACUAAAUUAAAGUCCCCUUCCUCCGAAUAGAAGCUGCAAAUAAUUAAAGUGCAGAUAAUUAAGACGGAUGUGGAAUAUCCACUGCAAGAUGGUAGCAGGGACACAAAACCUGAUUGUGAAUGCAAAUGCAUGAAAUUUGAUCAGAAAUAUUGCUUUGAAUGAGCCAAUAAGUAUUUCAUCUCGACUCAUUAUUCCAAUCAGGUAUUCUGGUUUACAGCAUAACCCAAUGAAAUAUGAAACCAUCAGAUUACAGAGGAUCCAUUUGCAUUUAAAAACAAACCAUAUUCCCAGUCCUUGUGGAUGUAGUGAAAACUCAGAAAUAGCUUUGGGGCUGAAUUUGCAAAUGGUCUAACAGUGUACUAAAAAUAAACAAAUGCUUGGUGGAUCAAACCAAAGGCCCAUUUAGUCUAGCAUCCUGUUCUCACAGUGGCUAACCAAUGUCCAUGGGAUAUUCGCAAGCAGGACAUGUGCACAUAGGUUAGGGAGGAAGUGAUAGAGCACAUUCUUGGAAUGCGGCAGACCCCAUAUUCAAGACCCUCCCCUGAGUUGCUAGAGCACUGUUGCCUCUCUGAGGAGACAAUACCAAAGAUGGAUAAGCAGCCCGACCUGCUACAAGUCAGGUUCUGAUAAUGGUGCUAAUCAAAGCAUUAUUUUACUGACCCUGUAUUGGUUGCAUUGGACCAACACCAUUGCUUGUUUGUUAAUCGGCUUGUCAUGGUUUGUUACAGCUGGGUGCCGCAGCUCCUGUAUGCAAAGAGCAUUCCUCCAGUCAUUUCAAUAGAGUUGAUCUCUGAAUCAUUGAAUUGUAGAGUUGGAAGGGGACACGUAUUCCUUUGUCUGAAUGGAUUCGCUGAAUCCAUGGAAAUGAGUGAGGAAGACCACAAGUGCAGCAGCUCCGCAUGAAAAUUUGGCAGAAUGAGGUGGAUAUGUGCGGCACCUAAUUGCAACUGUUCAUUUUCAGUGGUGUUACCUAGACUUCAGGUCAGGGGUGGGGAACCUGUGCCCCUCCAGAAGUUGUUGGAUUCCAACGAGCAUCAGCCUCAACCAGCAUGGAGAGUAGUCAGGGAUUAUGGGAGUUGUGACCCAACCAUAGCUGGAGGGUCACAGGUCCCCAUUCAUGCUUUUGAACCAGAAUUGGAUUGGUUUAUUAUAUUUAUAUCCGAGCUCUUUUUCCAAAGAGUUCAAAGACAGCAUAUAAAUCCAUGCCUUUUCAUCUUUACAACAACUCACUUAGGUAGUUUAGACUGAGAGCAAGCAAGCGACUGUGUCAAGACCACUCUGUGAGUUUUAUAGUUUAGUGGGUAUCUGAAUUUAGGUCAUCGCUGGCCUAAUCCAGUACUCUAAUCCAGGGUGUAGUCAAUAUCGUGCCCUCCAGAUGUUGAGAACUAUAGCUGCCAUCAUCCAUGACCAUUGACCAUGCUGGCUGGAGCUAAUGGGAGUUGUAAUCCAAAACAUCUGGAGGUAUUACAGUGGUGACCCUUGCUCUAACCAGCAGGACACAGGGGCUCUCAAUAAUAAUUGGAAACAUAUUUUAUGAGCCUACGUCCAGAUCCAAGCCUUCCUUCCUCCCUCUCCUCUCCCUCCCUUUUAUGGUUGUGAUGAAUGGAUAUUGUAAUUAACAAAGAUCUCACCCCUAGCGCAUUUCAUUUUUACUUAAUUGUCUUGUCAACCUUUCCCCACCUUGCCUACUGAUCAUGUAUGGCACUGUGCUAUAUGUCAACACCCACAACAGCUUUGCCCCCCACCCCCAAGAAAGGAGAAGACUCCAAACCAAGAUUAAUAGGUGCAGUCUUUUGGGUAAUUAAUAUUCAUCGCUGCAAGCCAUGUUGUCUGGGCUCCGUUUGAAAAAGCAGAACCCAUCCUGCAGAGUGACGGGAUUUAUCAUUUGCUGGUUCUUUCUGUGAGCAGAUUGAGUCGCGGCUCCAGUAAUUGAAAAUGUGCUCUGAAAUGCAUCUUUUCCUCCCCUAACUUCUGAUUAUACUAGUUUGGUGGCUUUGAUAAAUACCCUGUUCAGUGUGCAGAAGAGCUUGUGGAAGGGUGUCUACCAGGAUCACAGCAUCCCAGAAGGGCAGAAGGCAGAUUCCUUGUUAAAGAGCUGGUGUCGCUUGUUUCAUGCUUGGCUAUUCUUCACCCCUGUUUGUUAUCCCCGCCGCGCUUUCGAACUGAUGCCUUAGCUUGCCCUUUCAGAGGCACAUUCAAUCAGAUGGAGCCAUUACUGUGUAGCGCUUCUCCCUCUCAUUGCGCAUUAAUGAAGAGCAUGAUGUUGUGGGAAAGAACCCUGGGGAAAGAAAAUAGUGCCACUAAUUACUGCUGGCAAUAGGAAUGUGCGGAUUGAUUUAAAGACAAGAGAGGGAGAGGGGGAACUAAAGUGGAAAGACAAUUUGCUCAAAAGGUUGCAUGUCCCAGGUUCCUUGUCUCUAAAUCAGAGGCUAACCAGAGGCCCAAGUCAGGAUUUGUCCAGCUUUCUCCUCCCUUCUUAGAAGCAGUUUGUCUCUGAAUACCAGUUUCUGGAAUCACAAGUGGGGAGAGUGCAGCCAGGCUCUGGCUCUCCACUGGGGAAUCUGGUUGGCCACUGUGAGAGUAGGAUCCUGGACCUGUGGCUUGAUCCAGCAGGGACCUUAUGCUUCAUUUCUUUCAGUUUUUAAAUAUUAUUUUCUGGAGUCUAAUCCAGAAUGAGGAUUGGUUUGUGAGAAAGGGUUUGCAUUUCCCCACCCUGUCUCCAGCUCCCCCAUGGCUUCAGCAGACCCUCCAAGUGUCCCUAUUUUCCAGGGACAGUCCCAGAUUUACAGAAGCUCUUCCAGUUUCUGAUUUGAUCAUGGAAUGUUCCAUUGUUGUUGUUUAGUCAUUUAGUCGUGUCCGACUCUUCAUGACCCCAUGGACCAGAGCACGCCAGGCACUCCUGUCUUCCACUGCCUCCUGCAGUUUGGUCAAACUCAUGCUGGUAGCUUCGAGAACACUAUCCAACCAUCUCGUCCUCUGUUGUCCCCUUCUCCUUGUGCUCUCCAUCUUUCCCAACAUCAGGGUCUUUUCCAGGAAGUCUUCUCUUCUCAUGAGGUGGCCAAAGUAUUGGAGCCUCAGCUUCACGAUCUGUCCUUCCAGUGAGCACUCAUUAGGGUGUCCCUAUUUUCAUCAGAGCUAUGUUGGUAGGACAUUCCUAUUUUCAUUAGAGGGUAUGGAGCUAUUCGGCCUCCAAGCUAAGGAGAUAAAUAACUAUACAAUUGUUAGAAGACAUCUGAAGGCAGCCCUGUAUAGGGAAAUUAAAAAAAAAAAAGUUUAAUAUUUUAUUACGUUUUUAUAUAUGUUGGAAGCCACCCAGAGUGGCUGGAGCAACCCAGUCAGAUGGGUGUGGGGUAUAAAUAAUAAAAGUAUUGUUGUGGUUGAAUAGGAUGUCCCUAUUUUCAUCGUACAGAUGUUGGAGGGUAUGCCUCAGCUUUCCCUAUUAGUCUAAGCUUAAAUCUGAUAUAAACAUGAUGUCCCUAGCAUGGGUGUUUCCCAGCAACUGCCAUUCAGAAACAUACCUCCACUAGUCACUGGGUAUUAGGUGAGCAGUUUCCCAACUUUCUGCCUUCAGGGAAUUCUUGUGCAUGCCGAAGAGGCCUUUGCAGGAGGUCUCAGUUUAGCUUCAGGUUAAUAUCUACCACCCCCAUCCACAUCCAAAAGAGAGAGCAUAUUGAUGGACAAGCUAUCUUUUAAGGAAGCUUGUCCACCAUGUAUGAUCUUCUCACUGAAGAGUAGUAACAGGCAGAAGAAGCUUGUCAUUCCUUGGAACACAAUUUAAACAUACUUAGGGUACCUUUGCAUGGCGAGUCCUUUUAUCAUAGAUAAUUCCAGUUCAUAAACUGGAUUACAGAUAGUCAGUUCGAUAUAUUAUGGGGAAAAUGGGUCCUUGUGAUUGCCGUUCCCAGCAAGUCAAAAAGCAUGGAGAGACUGUCUCUUUAAGGUGCAAUUUCUUCUUUCAGCUUACUGUUGUAUCUACGAGAAGCAGGGAUAAAAAGUGUUCAAAUUGUGUCCCAGUGGCUUUUAUACAGAAGUUCUUGGAUUUCUUCCAAAGCAAACGCACGAAAGGUGUUCAACCGGGUUGAGAGCCUGCAAUUAUUGUGUGUGUGUGUGUGAGUGUGCGCGCAUGGGUGUGCGUUGAUGCUGUCUCUCCUGACACUUCGGUUGCAUUUUUGUACUUUUUGCACGAUGUACACAGGACAGGGGUGAGGCACCUGGAGCCCUUCUGAUGUUGCUGGACUAUGACUUGACUCCCGCCAUCCCUGACGAUUGGUCAUGCUGGUUAGGGCUGAAGGGUGUUAGGAGCUCCACAGCAUCUCAGGUUCCCCAUUCCUGGAGUGGAAAGAAGACAAAGCAGCAUUUUCCAGUGGCAUUAUCAAAAAGAAAAUGUCCUUAAUCUGAGUGGUAUAUUUUCUGUGCAGAGCAUAGAAGAGAAAUGGUAGGGGAAAGAGGGACAAGAAUUAAAGUCCAUGGACUAGAGACAGACAGUGUGGUGCCCUUCAGAUGUUGCUGGACUACAAUUCCCAUAAUUCCUGACCAUUGGCCACACUCACCAGGGCUGAUGGGAGUCAUAAGCCAAUAACAUCUGAAGGUCACCAGGUUGACUACCUCCACCAUGGACUAUGCUGAAACUCUGUCCCAAGGAACAAAUUAUGGAUGAGUAGCCAUGGCAGAGCUGAGUGGGUGCCAUGGAAAUGACAUCCCUUUGGAUCAUUCUUCCCCUUACUGCAGCAGCACCCAGGAAGGUACAUUUAUUGCAUGGGUCAAAGCCAUCACCUGAUGAUCAACAACAAUGACAAGGAGCAAGAGUUGGGCAAACCACAGUAUGAUGGCCCUGAUCUGUGUGGUGGUGGAUCUUCCUAGAUGAUAUCUUGGGGAGGGGAGAUCUUACCUCAAGGGUGCCGUUCACAAUGCAAUUCCUCUGGAGAUUAACAGCUUCUAGCCAGCUUCUAGCCCGCACAGCAGAUGUGGCAAAGAAAAUAAUCCCAUGGUACCUAAAAGACUAUCAUAUUCAUUGUGACAGGAGCUAUUCACAUUGCAUUUAUUUAUUAUGUUAGUGUGAUUAUAUUGUAAGGUGCUUUUGCCUACAAAUACAGGAUAUAAGUGCUUAAAUUAGCAUUGCGCACUAAAGGCAAGAAUUGAAGCAGGCUCUAGAGUGGCCAGUCUCAAGGUGAGGUUGCUGUUCCUGCUCAAGCAAGGUUUUUCCUGCACAGGUAAAACAUCUGAAGAAAUUUAAGGAAUAAUAAUAAUAAUGAAAUUGCUAAGGAAUGGUAUCCCUGGUUGGCCAUUGACUUUUCCCUGAAAUGACAUUUCUAGGCAAAUCUGAAGGUUCUUGAUUCAUAUGGAACAUUCAAAGAAGGGGAGAAAACCUCACAUUUCAGAGGACUAGUAAAAUUCUUGAGGAGGAUUCCACAUACCCCUCUAUCCCAUGGAAGCUCAAUGCACAAUGAAUUUAUUUGUCUUUAAGGUACCAUAGUGCUCUUGGUUGAGUUUUUGCUCCCAAGGAAAAGACCCAUAUGGAGAAAGAAGUCCAGUGCUUUGCAUUUCAAAACAGAAUGUCAAGAGGAAGAACAGCAGGUCAGAAGCAACAAGUUGAAUCGUGUUAGUAUGUGAAUUAAAUUAAAUGACAGUUGUGUCUCAAUUUCAUUUUUUUUACUGGCCUUCUCCAUGUUGGGAGAGGUAGACCUCACACAUGGCCUUCAAAUGCCGUACUUGAUUCAGCAGAGUGGCUUAACAGUUGGAUGAGCAGAAAAAAAAAUGAUGUAUUGCAGCUUACCUAAAGAAUGAAAACUGUACCACACCAAUGUUUACAAGUCCAAGUAGACAGCGAACCCCUGUAAAAUAUAUGUAAUUUAUGCAAGGGAUUGCAUCUUUCUUUUUGUAAUGAAUGCACUAAGCAACCCUGUAUAUAUUUUACAAUGUCUUUACAAAACAAGAGGAAAAAAAAUACAGAGAGAGAAUCAUUUACUGUAGUGUUGUAAAAUAAAUGCACUUUUUCUAAUUUUUUCAUUAAAAAUCCUAUGGCACGUUU